CUCGUGGCGAAGUCUCGAAUGGCAUUUUCUCAACACCAAUUGCGGCCUGAUGGAACUCGAACCGUUGGCUGCGCUAAGUUCGUCCGCCAGGGACGACGAGGACUGCAUGGACAUGUGACCGAUGGGCAGACCUGCGAAGAGGGCUCGUGUAACACGAAUUCGUGCUACGCACGGAUACCUUUCCCCGAAACGACGAGACAGUUGAAAAACUGGAUGCUCAACAUGGCGACGUCCACGUUGAACCGAACCACCGUUGAGACACGCGAUCGAUGCGCAUCGGUACAGCGACGACUGAUCGCGUGUGGCCAUCGCAACGAGUCUUUCAAAUCCGCGGAUCUCGAACGAGAGACAGUUAGGCCGGUCGGGUUUUUAUUCCUUCCUCUGCUCCUACGAGAUGGCAACCGAAUCGACAAACCG